ACGGUCUCUAUUCUUUUUUUAAGUUGGUCUGUGUCGGUGUGUUUGGUUCAGUGGAUGUGGUCGAUGUAUUCAUUUACAUUACUUUGUCGAUUACUUAUUUUAAAUUGGCCUGUAUCGGUGUGUUUGGUUCAAUCGAUGUGCUGGGAUGUAAUUUCUUGGUCUAUUAUUCUUCUGUGUUAUGGGUUGGUCUGUGAUGUAGUCGAUGUAUUAAUUUACAUUACUUUGUCGAUUACUUAUUUUAAAUUGGUCUGUAUCGAUGUGUUUGGUUCCAUCGAUGUGCUGGGAUGUAAUUUCUUGGUCUAUUAUUCUUCUGUGUUAUGGGUUGGUCUGUGCUGUCGUCGAUGUAUUAAUUUACAUUAAUUUGUCGAAUACUUAUUUUAAGUUUUUCUGUAUUGGUGUAUUUUGUUUGUCAAUGUCCUGGGUUGAAAUUUCUUGGUCUAUUAUUCUUCUGUGUUAUGGGUUGGUCGGUGCUGUGGUCGAUGUAUUAAUUUACAUUAUGGUCUCUAUUCUUUUUUUAAGUUGGUCUGUGUCGAUGUGUUUGGUUCAGUGGAUGUGGUCGAUGUAUUCAUUUACAUUACUUUGUCGAUUACUUAUUUUAAAUUGCUCUGUAUCGGUGUGUUUGGUUCAAUCGAUGUGCUGGGAUGUAAUUUCUUGGUCUAUUAUUCUUCUGUGUUAUGGGUUGGUCUGUGAUGUAGUCGAUGUAUUCAUUUACAUUACUUUGUCGAUUACUUAUUUUAAGUUGGUCUGUAUCGGUGUGUUUGGUUCAAUCGAUGUGCUGGGAUGUAAUUUCUUGGUCUAUUAUUCUUCUGUGUUAUGGGUUGGUCUGUGAUGUAGUCGAUGUAUUAAUUUACAUUAAUUUGUCGAUUACUUAUUUUAAGUUUGUCUGUAUCGGUGUGUUUGGUUUGUCAAUGUCCUGGGUUAAAAUUUCUUGGUCUAUUAUUCUUCUGUGUUAUGGGUUGGUCUGUGCUGUCGUCGAUGUAUUAAUUUACAUUAAUUUGUCGAUUACUUAUUUUAAGUUUGUCUGUAUCGGUGUGUUUGGUUCAAUCGUUGUACUGGGUUGUCAUUUCUUGAUCUAUUAUUCUUCUGUUAUCGGUUGGUCUGUGCUGUGGUCGAUGUAUUAAUUUACAUUACGGUCUCUAUUCUUUAUUUAAGUUGCUCUGUAUCGUGGUGUUUGGUUUGUCAAUGUGCUGGGUUAAAAUUUCUUGGUCUAUUAUUCUUCUGUGUUAUCGGUUGCUCUGUGCUGUGGUCGACGUAUUAAUUUACAUUACGGUCUCUAUUCUUUUUUUAGGUUCGGUCGUUGUAUUGGUGUGUUUGGUUCAAUCGAUGUGCUGGGAUGUAAUUUCUUGGUCUAUUAUUCUUCUGUGUUAUCAGUCGGUCUGUGCUGUGGUCGAUGUAUUAAUUUACAUUACGGUCUCUAUUCUUUAUUUAAGUUGAUCUGUAUCGGUGUGUUUGGUUUGUUAAUGUGCUGGGAUGUAAUUUCUUAGUCUAUUAUUCUUCUGUGUUAUGGGUUGGUCUGUGCUGUGGUCGAUGUAUUAAUUUACAUUACGGUCUCUAUUCUUUUUUUAAGUUGGUCUGUGUCGGUGUGUUUAGUUUGUCAAUGUGCUGGGUUGAAAGUUCUUGAUCUAUUAUUCUUCUGUGUCAUGGGUUGGUCUGUGAUGUCGUCGAUGUAUUAAUUUACAUUACUUUGUCGAUUACUUAUUUUAAGUAUAUCUGUAUCGGUGUGUUUGGUUCAAUCGUUGUAUUGGGUUGUCAUAUUUUGAUCUAUUAUUCUUCUGUGUUAUGGAUUGGUCUGUGAUGUCGUCGAUGUAUUAAUUUACAUUACUUAUUUUAAGUUUGUCUGUAUCGGUGUGUUUGGUUCAAUCGUUGUACUGGGUUGUCAUUUUUUGAUCUAUUAUUCUUCUGUGUUAUGGGUUGGUGUGUGAUGUCGUCGAUGUAUUAAUUUACAUUACUUCGUCGAUUACUUAUUUUAAGUUUAUCUGUAUCGGUGUGUUUGGUUCAGUCGAUGAGCUGGGAUGUAAUUUCUUGAUCUAUUAUUCUUCUGUGUUAUUGGUUCGUCUGUGACGUGGUCGAUGUAUUAAUUUACAUUACGGUCUCUAUUCUUUAUUUAACUCGAUCUGUAUCGGUGUGUUUGGUUGAAUCGUUGUGAUGGAUUUUAUUGAUAUGAUUAAUGCAUACAUUUUCGAUGAUUUGAUCGAUGUUUUAAUUUUUUCUCUGUAUUGUUGAUUCAUCAUUUUCGGUGUAGAUUAGGUUGUCUCAUAAUACGCUUACUUUAGUUUAAUGGAUGCAUUCACUUUCCAUAAUUUGAUCGAAUUUUCGAUGAUUUAAGUAUAAUUUAAUUACUUAUUAAAGUGGUGGAGUACACUGAUUUGAUUUUCAUUGUUUAUGUAUCGAUGUUUUAUAAUUUAAUAAAUGUCCUAUUCAUUUUGGACGUUUAUCGAUUUUCUAGUAUUGGAUGGUCUGUAUCAGGGUCUAUAUAUUUGUAGGGUUGCUAGAUUUCUCACCUGUUUAUAUAUCGGGUUUGAUAGUUUCGAGAUCUGAUUAUUCUAUAAUCUAUAUGAUGUGUUUUCAGAUGAUUUGGUCGUUGUAUAAUUUUUGUUAGAAGAAGGCAAUUUUAUACGUGUAAUUAUUAAAUUCCUAAUGUUUCUGUUUAUAAUGUAGAUUUAUAUUGCCUAGAUUUUUAUAAAUACAUUUAGUUUUAUCGAAAUGCGAUAUUUUUAUUAUUUAAUUGACGUAAUCAUUUUUGAUUACAGUGUGGUCGAUAGAUUUUGUGAGAUGUAACUAUAAGUGUGUUUAGUUACUAUGGAUGUGAUAAGUUUCGUUUAUUUUAUUGACGUUUUAAUUAACGAUGAUGGGGCCGAUUUUACAGUGGAUGGACCUGUAUCAGUGUGUUAAGUUUUAUUAAUGUGCUCAAUUAUAUUUAUUUAACCUAUGUGUCAAUUUUGGAUGAAAUUAUGCUGAGUCUGUUGAUGUGCGAUUCAUUGUGAAUGUACUUAUUUUUGGAUUAAUGUACUAAUUUUGGAUGAUUUUAGUGAAGUCGUUGAUGUAUAAAAUCUUGUCUAUGUGCUAAGUGUACUUAAUUUUUAUCGACGUAUUCUGUGUAAGUGUACUUAAUUUAUAUUUAUGUAUUAAUUUUAAAUGCGCUUUUAUGCAUUUAAUUUAAUACACUUCUAGUGUAAUUUUAUAUACGUAUAACAUUUAGAUUUCAUCGAUAUAUUUAUUUUCGAUGAGUAAGUUUUCAGUCAUUUAAGUUUCGUUUAUGGUAUAAGUUUUGUGAAUUAUUUAUUUUCUAUACACGAUGUCGGUGUAUUUAAGUACUUAUAAAAUGAUUUCUAUAAGUGAAUAAAAUAUAAUUCAUUUUCGGAAUUAUGACCGACAUAUUAAUUUUGGAUUUGUGUAUUCUAUUGUAUUAUUUUGAUUUACUUAUGAAUAAGUGUGGAAUUGAGUAAUAAGAUUGGUUACAUUACAGAAUUCAUUUUGUUGAAACGGUUAUUCCGACCCGUCACCGUACUUAUUCGAUUUCGAUGCAUGUAAUAAGUUACGACGUGGUGUGGCUUUGUUCUAGCAUUAUGUUUUAAUGAUUCAAUCAAUGUAAUCAUUUUCCAUGAUGUGAUGGGUGUAAAAAGCUAUUAAGUUUUUUUCGAAAUAUUCUUGAUUUUAUUUAUGUAUAAAUAUUCGAUGUGGUCUACGAUCUGGAUCUGGUGAUCGUUGCAUCGAUGUACUAAGUUACUAAAACUAUUGCGUAAGUGUAUUUCGUUUAUAAGUUCCCGGUAUACAAGUGUAUAGAUUUUGAAAUUUUCUUAUGUACUUAUUUCAAAACGAUGUAUUAUGAAAUUUCAAAUGUCAUUUUUGUGUGUGCAAUUGUGUAAUAUUUUGGAAGUAAUAAAUGUUGGUUCUGUUCGUGAA
rnacentral:lncRNA from 1 species